rnacentral:rRNA from 1 species
UGGGGAAUCUUGCGCAAUGGGCGAAAGCCUGACGCAGCAACGCCGCGUGGAGGAAGAAGGCCUUCGGGUUGUAAACUCCUGUCAGGGGGAAAGAAGGCACCUGGGUGAAUAGCCCAAGGGCUGACGGUACCCCCAGAGGAAGCCACGGCUAACUACGUGCCAGCAGCCGCGGUAAUACGUAGGUGGCGAGCGUUGUCCGGAAUUAUUGGGCGUAAAGAGCGCGUAGGGGGCUUGCCAGGUCCGACGUGAAACCCCGGGGCUCAACUCCGGACGUGCAUCGGAAACCGGCUUGCUAGAGUCUGGGAGAGGGGAGUGGAAUUCCUGGUGGAGCGGUGAAAUGCGCAGAUAUCAGGAGGAAUACCGGUAGCGAAGGCUGCUCCCUGGAACAGUACUGACGCUGAGGCGCGAAAGCUAGGGGAGCGAACA